rnacentral:misc_RNA from 1 species
GUAGGUGAACCUGCGGAGGGAUCAUUACAGAGUUCAUGCCCUUCGGGGUAGAUCUCCCACCCUCGUGUAUCAUUAUAGAAUGUUGCUUUGGCGGGCCGCGCCUCGUGCGCCUAGAUUCGCGUCUAGCGUGCCCGCCAGAGGACCCCUAAACUCUGAAUGUUAGUGUCGUCUGAGUACUAUUAAAUAGUUAAAACUUUCAACAACGGAUCUCUUGGCUCUC